GCUGUCAAUGGCACCGAAUGCCAAGCAAGGAAGCAGACCUGAUUCGUUUCUAGGCUUCAUCACCAGCUGCUUCUCCCUCGGCCUCCUCAGCCCCCAGCUGCCUGGGUUCGAAUCCCAGCUCUCUGCUCAUCAGGUGUGUAACCCUGGGCGAUGACUCCACCUCUGUGAGCUUCCACGUCUGCAGCUGUCAGCUCAGAAUCAAGAUGUCUGCCAGCCAAGAAUACCAGAAGCCUUGGU
rnacentral:lncRNA from 10 species